rnacentral:rRNA from 1 species
UACGUAGGGGGCUAGCGUUGUCCGGAUUUAUUGGGCGUAAAGAGCGUGUAGGCGGCCAGGUAGGUCUGCUGUGAAAACUCGAGGCUCAACCUCGAGACGUCGGCGGAAACCAUCUGGCUAGAGUCCGGAAGAGGAGAGUGGAAUUCCUGGUGUAGCGGUGAAAUGCGCAGAUAUCAGGAAGAACACCGGUGGCGAAGGCGGCAUCCUGGACCGGUAUUGACGCUGAUGCGCGAAAGCCAGGGGAGCAAACGGG